UACAGAGGGUGCGAGCGUUAUCCGGAUUUAUUGGGCGUAAAGAGUACGUAGGCGGUUUUUUAAGUAAGAUAUUAAAUCCAGUGGCUCAACCAUUGAUCAGUAUCUUAAACUGGAAGACUAGAGACUCAGAGAGGUAAGCGGAAUUCUGCAUGUAGGGGUCAAAUCCGUAGAUAUGCAGAGGAACACCGAAAGCGAAAGCAGCUUACUGGAUGAGUUCUGACGCUCAAGUACGAAACCGUGGGGAUCAAACAGG
rnacentral:rRNA from 1 species